GAUGAACGCUGGCGGCGUGCCUAACACAUGCAAGUCGAGCGAUUCUCUUCGGAGAAGAGCGGCGGACGGGUGAGUAACGCGUGGGUAACCUGCCCUGUACACACGGAUAACAUAUCGAAAGGUAUGCUAAUACGAGAUAAUAUGCUUUUAUCGCAUGGUAGAAGUAUCAAAGUUUUUGCGGUACAGGAUGGACCCGCGUCUGAUUAGCUAGUUGGUAAGGUAACGGCUUACCAAGGCGACGAUCAGUAGCCGACCUGAGAGGGUGAUCGGCCACAUUGGAACUGAGACACGGUCCAAACUCCUACGGGAGGCAGCAGUGGGGAAUAUUGCACAAUGGGCGAAAGCCUGAUGCAGCAACGCCGCGUGAGCGAUGAAGGCCUUCGGGUCGUAAAGCUCUGUCCUCAAGGAAGAUAAUGACGGUACUUGAGGAGGAAGCCCCGGCUAACUACGUGCCAGCCGCCGCCGUAA
rnacentral:rRNA from 1 species